rnacentral:rRNA from 1 species
GACGAACGCUGGCGGCGUGCUUAACACAUGCAAGUCGAACGGAAAGGCCCUGCUUUUGUGGGGUGCUCGAGCGGCGAACGGGUGAGUAACACGUGAGUAACCUGCCCUUGACUUUGGGACAACUUCAGGAAACUGGGGCUAAUACCGGAUAGGAGCUCCUGCUGCAUGGUGGGGGUUGGAAAGUUUCGGCGGUUGGGGAUGGACUCGCGGCUUAUCAGCUUGUUGGUGGGGUAGUGGCUUACCAAGGCUUUGACGGGUAGCCGGCCUGAGAGGGUGACCGGCCACAUUGGGACUGAGAUACGGCCCAGACUCCUACGGGAGGCAGCAGUGGGGAAUAUUGCACAAUGGGCGGAAGCCUGAUGCAGCAACGCCGCGUGCGGGAUGACGGCCUUCGGGUUGUAAACCGCUUUCGCCUGUGACGAAGCGUGAGUGACGGUAAUGGGUAAAGAAGCACCGGCUAACUACGUG